AUAUUACAUGUGUAAAAAUGUAUACAAUAAUUUUAGGAUGCAUGUCAAAUGUAGCUGAGUGCUUAGUAAAAAUGUUGAUAUACAACAUGUAGGUGUCACCAUGAUUCCUAGCAUAUAGAUGGGUGCAAAUACGAAACUAAGACACGUGGUCAGUUGCUGAAGAAAUUCCGGUGAAAACAUGCAGGGUCUAGCAAAAGGUCUGUAGCUGUGAGGGAAGGUGGAUGGCCCCAUAUGAGAGGUAGAUUUUUGAGAAGGGCAGAUAGGGUUCUUGAUUGUGCACAGUGUCUAAAUCCCCAUGUUUGGUACUGUGAUGGUGUGGGGGUGGUGCGGAUUAGCCCAAAUGAGGGAAAAUCAAAGCAAAAAAGGGGAACCUGCUCAGAGCAUGUUUUGUGCACCAGCACCAGUAUUUAUAGAUUACAUGUAAUUUAGGGUCAUAAUUUAUUAACUACACUAAUAUGAAAUACAAGUAUGGACAUAAAAGGGAAAUAUGAUUUUUCAUUAGUCUGUCAUAAUCUGACUUUGGUGUAUACCCCCUAUCCACAUGUUUCAAAACCAAAGAAACUGUCCCCUGCCACCUAAACUCAACAUUGCCAGCAGAGACGAGGGAACUAAGACUACGGAUAAAAGUAUCCAAACGUGGUGAGAAGACUUGGAUGAAUUAACAUAACAGAAGGAAGACCGGAAGCCAUUGUUAUAUGGUGGUAUAAUGUAUCAGCUGUUCUAUCACUUCAUACAUAUCGAGAUUGCAGAUAAGAUAUUACCUCAUCAGAAUUCAUAACUUGAGCAAUAUGUUCCCUUUGACAUUCAAUUUUAUUACUGAUAACCCUAUGCUACUGUAAAUUCAUUCAUCUUCCUCCAAAGAUGUACAUGUUAAAUUCUUCAUUGCUAUUUUAGCUCACCUGAGUCAAUGACAAGUUUUUCUGAUCAAAAUGUGUCCAUUGUACAUCGUCGUUGUUUGCAUUCUCCUCAUCAUAAACUUUCCUCAUUUUCAUAUUCUUUUCCAGAACCACUGGGCAAAUUUCAACCAAACUUGGCACAGAGCACCUUUGGGUGAAGGGGAUUUAAAUUUUUAAAAUGAAGGGCCGUGCCCGUUCAAAAAUGCAAAAAUAUGAUGGGUAAUUUUAAAAUCUUCUCAAGAACCACUGGGCCUGAAGAAAUAAAAUUCAUAUGAAAGCUUAUUGACAUAUUAAAAUUUGUUAAAUGUGUGCCUCCCCCCACCCUCCCCAGGGAUAGCAUGGUGCACAAAACGGGAUGAAAAAAAAAUACAUGCAAAUAUAUAGGGAAAUUUUUUAAUGUCUUCUGAAGAGGCACUGGCCAGAAAAGUACAGAUUUACAUCAAAGGUUUCUGAUAUAGUGCAGAUUAAAAUUUGUUAAAAUCAUAGCUCCGAGGGGUUGGAUGGGUCCACAAUAGGGGGUAAAAGUUUCACAUACAAAUAUAAUUCGGAUAUUUUUGAAGAUCUUCUGAAGAACCACCAUACCAGAUAUGUUUAUGUUUACAUGAAAGUUUCCGGACAUAGUGCAGAUCGAAGUUUGUAAAAAUCAUGGCCCCGGGGUGUAGGGUGGGGCCACAAUAUGGGAACAACGAUUUACAUGGGGAAAAAAUGGGCAAAUCUUCUAAAGAACCACUGAGCAAAAAAAGUUUCCAAAACAUUUCUUUUAGUGAUGUAACCAGUGAAAAUAGACUUUUCUUCUAUUCUUCUGUAACCAGUGAAAAUAGACUUUUCUUCUAUUCUUCUAGCUGCCCAAAGUUUUGCAUACAAAUAUACACUGGACCAUUUACAUUUACAUGUAAGCUUUCUGACAUAGCACUGAUUCAAAAUCUCCCAGGGGCUGGGGUGGGUUAAGGUAGGAGCCACAAUAGGGAUUAAAGUUUUACAUUCGAAUAUGUAGGGGGAAUCAUUCUGAGAAUUUCACUUUUUAAAUGGCAUAAAUAGUAGGUUUAUCUCUUUUUGAUGCGGCAUAAACCUAUAGCAUUUGGCAUACACCUGACCAAAACUCCUUGCAGGGAAUGCACCACAUUUCUCUCCCCUCAAAAUUCAACCAUACUUUUCUGUUCAGCCACUGUGGUUUGAAUUCACGUUUUCUUUUUUUUCUUUUUUUUCAUAUAGCUUGCGUUUUUCUUGUUCUGAUUUUUUUGUUUGUUUGACACCAUUUGGUUUAAUAACGGGCUUUGUGCCAUCAAAAUAUUUUAACUGUAGAACCAUUUACACGUCAUUUGUUGACCUUCACCUCAAAUUAUAUUUGCUAAGUCAGAUGUAUAUUAUUUUCUUUUAACAUUCUUGCAAUAUUUGAAUAUUUGCGAAAUAAAGAAAAAAGGACAACUCUUGUUAUAUUGUUAGGGAAAAUUUUAAUUUAAAAAUCGAUCCCAAUAAAAUUCAUCAAUGCAGAUAAAAAAAAAAAACAUCGACAUUUAAAGACAUUCGAAUCAUACGCUGAACAAUUUGUCUAGAACACGUCAUAAUCUUCAAACCACUUACACACUUAUGUCGUAUAUUUUAAAAUCAAUGGGAGCACAGCGAUUUUUUUCUACCCACUGGUACUGGUACCGGUACCCAUUCAGUUGGGAAAAAUAGCGUCAAAAUUGAACAAAUUGGGAAUUUUCUAACAAUGUAUCGGCAAAUGAUUUCAACUAAAAGAAAAGAAAAAAGAGAACAAAACAAGAAGUAGUCAUGUCUUUACAAACUUUUUUACGCUAAUAUUUGCUGUUGUGAGAUAUAAGGAAUCGUCAUAGGCUCGUUUUAGAAUUGUUGUAGUUCUACAAAACACGCGCACUGCCAUGAUCUGUACUUUCGAUUUAAUACCAGAAGUGGACAUUUUAGUUAACUUCUACAACGUUUCAGACUAAGUAAAUUACGAUUUUUCGGCAAGUGAAUUGGGAAAUUUUAGUCUCAAAAUUGGGAAAAAGCAAUGGUUUUUGGCAUUGGGAAUGGUACUGUUUAUCGGUACCAGUUAUAUAAGGAAAAAAAUCGCUGGAGCACAAUCCAGGUCCCAAAAUAGAUUUUGACGAUUGUAAGGGAAAA